rnacentral:rRNA from 1 species
GUAGUCAUAUGCUUGUCUCAAAGAUUAAGCCAUGCAUGUCUAAGUAUAAGCAAUUAUACAGCGAAACUGCGAAUGGCUCAUUAUAUAAGUUAUCGUUUAUUUAAUAGUGCCUUACUACUUGGAUAACCGUGGUAAUUCUAGAGCUAAUACAUGCUAAAAACCCCGACUUCGUAAGGGGUGUAUUUAUUAGAUACAAAACCAAUGCCCUUCGGGGCUCUUUGGUGAUUCAUGAUAACUAUACGAAUCGCACGGCCUUGCGCCGGCGAUGGUUCAUUCAAAUUUCUUCCCUAUCAACUUUCGAUGUUUGGGUAUUGGCCAAACAUGGUUGCAACGGGUAACGGGGAAUA